GGGUUGUGAGGUUAAGCGACUAAGCGUACACGGUGGAUGCCCUGGCAGUCAGAGGCGAUGAAGGACGUGCUAAUCUGCGAAAAGCGCCGGCGAGGUGAUAUGAACCUUUGACCCGGCGAUGUCCGAAUGGGGAAACCCAGUGCAAUCCGUUGCACUAUCGUUAACUGAAUACAUAGGUUAACGAGGCGAACCGGGGGAACUGAAACAUCUAAGUACCCCGAGGAAAAGAAAUCAACCGAGAUUCCCCCAGUAGCGGCGAGCGAACGGGGAGCAGCCCGGAGUCUGAAUCAGCUUGUGUGUUAGUGGAACGGUCUGGAAAGUCCGACGGUACAGGGUGAUAGUCCCGUACACGAAAGCACACUUGCUGUGAACUCGAAGAGUAGGGCGGGACACGUGGUAUCCUGUCUGAAUAUGGGGGGACCAUCCUCCAAGGCUAAAUACUCCUGACUGACCGAUAGUGAACCAGUACCGUGAGGGAAAGGCGAAAAGAACCCCGGCGAGGGGAGUGAAAAAGAACCUGAAACCGUGUACGUACAAGCAGUGGGAGCCUCUUUAUGGGGUGACUGCGUACCUUUUGUAUAAUGGGUCAGCGACUUAUAUUCUGUAGCAAGGUUAACCGUAUAGGGGAGCCGAAGGGAAACCGAGUCUUAACUGGGCGUUAAGUUGCAGGGUAUAGACCCGAAACCCGGUGAUCUAGCCAUGGGCAGGUUGAAGGUUGGGUAACACUAACUGGAGGACCGAACCGACUAAUGUUGAAAAAUUAGCGGAUGACCUGUGGCUGGGGGUGAAAGGCCAAUCAAACCGGGAGAUAGCUGGUUCUCCCCGAAAGCUAUUUAGGUAGCGCCUCGUGAACUCAUCUUCGGGGGUAGAGCACUGUUUCGGCUAGGGGGCCAUCCCGGCUUACCAACCCGAUGCAAACUACGAAUACCGAAGAAUGUUAUCACGGGAGACACACGGCGGGUGCUAACGUCCGUCGUGAAGAGGGAAACAACCCAGACCGCCAGCUAAGGUCCCAAAGUCAUGGUUAAGUGGGAAACGAUGUGGGAAGGCACAGACAGCCAGGAUGUUGGCUUAGAAGCAGCCAUCAUUUAAAGAAAGCGUAAUAGCUCACUGGUCGAGUCGGCCUGCGCGGAAGAUGUAACGGGGCUAAACCAUGCACCGAAGCUGCGGCAGCGAC
rnacentral:rRNA from 1 species